rnacentral:rRNA from 1 species
AACUUGAGAGUUUGAUCCUGGCUCAGAACGAACGCUGGCGGCAGGCUUAACACAUGCAAGUCGAGCGCCCCGCAAGGGGAGCGGCAGACGGGUGAGUAACGCGUGGGAAUCUACCCAUCUCUACGGAACAACUCCGGGAAACUGGAGCUAAUACCGUAUACGUCCUUUUGGAGAAAGAUUUAUCGGAGAUGGAUGAGCCCGCGUUGGAUUAGCUAGUUGGUGGGGUAAUGGCCUACCAAGGCGACGAUCCAUAGCUGGUCUGAGAGGAUGAUCAGCCACAUUGGGACUGAGACACGGCCCAAACUCCUACGGGAGGCAGCAGUGGGG